rnacentral:rRNA from 1 species
AUUGAACGCUGGCGGCAUGCUUUACACAUGCAAGUCGAGCGGCAGCGCGGGGGCAACCCUGGCGGCGAGCGGCGAACGGGUGAGUAAUGCAUCGGAACGUACCCUGGAGUGGGGGAUAACGCCGCGAAAGCGGCGCUAAUACCGCAUAUGCUCUGAGGAGGAAAGUGGGGGGACCCGCAAGGGCCUCAUGCUCUGGGAGCGGCCGAUGUCCGAUUAGCUAGUUGGUGAGGUAAAGGCUUACCAAGGCGACGAUCGGUAGCUGGUCUGAGAGGAUGAUCAGCCACACUGGGACUGAGACACGGCCCAGACUCCUACGGGAGGCAGCAGUGGGGAAUUUGGACAAUGGGGGCAACCCUGAUCCAGCCAUGCCGCGUGAGUGAAGAAGGCCU